CAGUCGCCGCGGUAAGACGAUCCGUGCGAACGUUAUUCGGAAUCAUUGGGCUUAAAGCGCGUGUAGGCGGAUGGGAACGUCGGUCGCUGAAAUACCCCGGCUCAACCGGGGAACUGGCAUCGAAACGACCCGUCUCGAGGGGCAUAGGGGGAGCUGGAACUUCCGGUGGAGCGGUGAAAUGCGUUGAGAUCGGAAGGAACGCCCGUGGCGAAAGCGAGCUCCUGGAUGUCUUCUGACGCUGAGACGCGAAAGCUAGGGUAGCGAACGGGAUUAGAUACCCCAGUAGUCCCUGUCUCUUAUA
rnacentral:rRNA from 1 species